AAAAUGAUCAGAAAAAGACGAUCUACACAUAAUAUCAUACCUGGCCCAAAUCCUAAGUUAACUCCAAAUUGGAGUAAAUGACAUUUAAUGACGAUUUUUAUGUUUUUGUGUAUUAAAUUGCAUUAUAUCUGAAAAAUUAAAAUAGACAGAUAGAAACUUAAAUAAGAAACAAUGAUCGGUAAAAUAAUAUCUUCAAAUUAAUAAGCAUGGCCC
rnacentral:lncRNA from 1 species